rnacentral:lncRNA from 1 species
UGGAGGCGUCUUGUCUCUUGGAGACAUGUGGAACAGAUUGUGAACCACGCUACAGGAAGCACAGAGGCAGAGGUGUUGAGGCCUCUCAUGUUCCAGUUGAGAAUAUGGCAAGAUUCUUUUGGCAUUCAACCUUGAUGGUUACAACAGACUGCAAAAGACCAGAAAAGGCUAAUUUAGUCAUGCAAUCAACCUGCCUACUCACCAAUUGUAACCCUACAGCUAGUGAGAUUAAUACAGUGGCAGGAAAUCAGCUUACCAUGUCAAAAAGACAACAUCGCCAGUUCUACACCUUAUCUGGGUUCGCCAAUUGUCGUCAUCAUUGCCAUCGCUAGAGGUAAGGUAGAAUUUUGUCGAGAGUCUUGAAAAGCCUGGCAAAUAAAGAGCUUCACCUGGAAAGGCAUUUCAAUGUGCCACAAGUCUAUCGUCCUAGAGCUAAUCACACCCCUAACAACAAUCCAUAUUAGUAUAAUCAAUUGACAAUAUUCAGCGGCAACAUUUCAAUUUAGUAGGUGCAGACUACGGACUUUUUGUGUAGCAAGCAGUAGUAUGACAUCCAGUGAAAAAAAUCAAUCAUUAUCAAAACAAUUGCUUAAAUUGAAACCAUUGCAUAUAGUGUCAAAUAACAAUUUAUCACAACAUCGCUGUAUAAUGGAAGGUCACAUGAAAACAAUAAAGAGUACAUAGCUUGUUUAAUCAACAACAGAAUGCUCCCUUUUCCAGGUCAACAGAUAUACAGUCAUACGUCAGCAAGUUAUUCUAAUAUCGUUUUACUUUCUCCCCUAUAUAACAUACAAAAGAAAAAAAAGAGAGGCAUUUCAACAUGAUUUUCACAUAGUAAUGAUCUAGGGUGACUACCAACCUAACAUACUCCAUAUAAACGAAUGAACUUUUAGUAGAUUAGAAGAUUGAUUAAUGCACAAAAUGCAAGGCAGGCAGCUCAAGCGAAGUGUCAGUGUGAAACUCCAUGCUAGUAGUUAGCAGUAGUUCUAUUAGCUAAACAGUCUCAUGGUAAGCAAACUAAUUUUACUUUACAAAGCCACACAUUGUUUGGGCCAACAACAGAGCAUGCAUCUCCACCAGCCAGCUCCUUACAUCUCAAAAGCACCGAUGUGACUAGCUAAAAAAGCAGUGAUGUGACAGUUAAGCAAUGAGCACCCUGUGCCGUCCUAGAUCAACUACACCACUGAUAUGACAGUGGUCUUUAUCAUGGGGUCAAUUUAAGAACCAGUUUUCCACGCUCAAGAAUUAGUAUAUAUGACUUGUAGUAUACUUCAAGUGAAGAGAUUCGUCAAUUGACUUCUCAUGCUUCAUCUUUCCCUACUUGCUCCUACCAUUCUUUCCCUACAUACACUCAGCAAGUAUGGCUCCAAGUUAGCCACCUUACAGAACAGGAUCUUUACAAAUACACUUGCUACUUAGAUCAAAACUCAUUAAAAAAAAACAUGCAGAGAGCGCCACAAUUUUCAUGCAAAAGCAAGGUUAGUAGGCUGGCCAUGCCUUUCUUCGGUCUUCCCCUUGUGCUGCUACUCACCAUGGCUUCUCCUGCAACUUCAUGCAAUGAGAAGGAGAAGAGCUCCCUUCUACAGUUUAUUGCUGAGCUAUCAUCACAUGAUGGUGGUGUUACCACGUCCUGGCGGAAUGGCACAGACUGCUGCAAGUGGGAAGGCAUCACUUGCAAUGGACACGGAGCAGUUAUGGAGGUGUCUCUAGCAUCUAGAAGCCUAGAAGGAAGCAUCUCCCCGUCCCUUGGCAAGCUCACCAGCUUGUUGCGCCUCAACCUCUCAUACAACUCGCUCUCUGGUAACCUGCCAUCAGAACUAUUGUCAUCUGGCAGCAUCACUGUACUCGAUGUGAGCUUCAACAGCCUCAACGGGGAUCUGCAUGAACCUCAUCCUUCAAUCACUGAGCAGCCGUUGCAAGCACUCAACAUCUCAAGCAACUUGUUUACAGGAGAAUUUCCAUCUACAAUGUGGGAGAAAACAAGAAAUUUGAUUUCCAUCAAUGCAAGCAACAAUAGCUUCCAAGGAUGGAUACCAUCUUCUUUUUGCAUCAGCUCAACAUCUGUUGCGGUGCUUGACCUUUCAUUCAACCAAUUCAGUGGCAGCAUCCCUGCUGAUAUGGGUAAAUGCUCUGCACUUAGAGUACUCAAGGCUGGCCACAACCACCUCAGUGGGCUCCUCCCAGAUGAGCUCUUCAAUGCUACACUGUUAGAGUACCUCUCUUUCCCAAACAAUGGUUUGCAGGGAUUACUUGAUGGUGCACAAGUAAUGAAGCUCAGAAAUCUAGUUAACCUUGAUCUUGGAGUCAAUAGGCUAAAUGGCAAGAUUCCGGAAACUAUAGGCCAGCUCAAGAGACUGGAGGGGCUCCAUUUGAACAAUAACAACAUGUUUGGGGAGCUGCCAUCAGCUCUGAGCAAUUGCACAAAUAUCAUAACGAUUGACCUCAAGGGUAACAAUUUCAGCGGAGAGCUUCACAAAGUCAACUUCUUCAACCUGCUCAAUCUAAAAGCAUUAGAUCUUCUGUACAACAACUUCACUGGCACAAUUCCAGAAAGCAUCUACUCAUGCAGCAACCUGAUGGCAUUGCGGCUAUCUAGCAACAAGUUGCAUGGGCAGCUAUCACCAAGAAUAGGCAAUUUGAAAUCUCUUGUUUUCCUGUCACUUGGUGCCAACACCUUCACAAAUAUCACAAAUACGCUUCAGAUCCUCAAGAACUGUGGGAAUCUCACCUCCCUACUUAUUGGAUCCAGCUUCAAGGGUGAGGCCAUACCACAAGAUGAAACGAUUGAUGGUUUUCAGAAUCUUCGGGUUCUUUCCAUAACUGAUUGCUCGUUGUCCGGGAAAAUACCUCUUUGGCUGUCAAAGCUCAAAAAUCUGGAGAUCUUAUUUUUGAACAGGAAUCGGCUCACUGGAACAAUUCCAGACUGGAUCAGAAACUUAAAUUCACUUUUCCUUCUGGACCUAGCAUCUAAUAACCUUACAGGGGAGUUACCGAUGGCCUUAAUGGAAAUGCCAAUGCUAAGGACAGAAAAGGCUGCAACCCAUUUGGAUACAAGGGUGUUUGAGCUACCUCUUUAUUUCGCUCACACAUUUCAAUACCGGAUAGCUACUACUUUCAUGAAAACACUGGAUCUUAGUCACAAUAACUUAACGGGUGCGAUUCCCCAGGAGUUUGUUCAGUUGAAAUCACUUGAGAAGCUCAAUUUGAGUUUCAACGGCUUGUCAGGAGAGAUUUCGCAGCAACUCAGCAAGCUGACAAAUCUGCAAAUUUUAGACUUGUCUAGCAACCAUCUCACAGGUGCAAUCCCAUCCGCACUGAACAACCUGCACUUCCUCUCUCAAUUCAAUGUUUCUCAUAAUGACCUGGAAGGACCUAUUCCGAAUGGAGGUCAGCUUAGUACAUUUCCAAGUUCUAGCUUUGAUGGGAACCCGAAGUUGUGUGGGAUUAUGGUUGCUAAACUCUGUGGCUCAGCUGAAGCACCUCCAGUCUCUGUUCCCUCCACAGAACAAACGGUCAGAAGGGUUGCCUUUGUGAUUUCUUUUGGGGCUUUCUUUGCUGUAGGGGUGAUAUAUGAUCAAAUAGUCUUGUCAAGGUAUUUCGGUUAGUCUCAGUUUACAUGUGAGAUUAUGAUGGCUUUAGUGCUAAUUAUCUCCUGCUCAGGUUCAGCGAUAUCGAUUAUGGAGUUGUAAACCAUAUUUGACUCAUUUUUCAUGUCUACAAAAAGGGUAACUGGAGGGGAUUUAUAGGCCAGGACAGAGUAAACCAUUUGGUGCAAAUGCAAAAGAAUGCAGCCAUGUAAGCUGAUCUGAAUGGAAGCAGUCUAAAUUUGUCAAGAAAAUAAGAGAUCUCUCCCGUUUGAUUUCUGUGUCGCUAUAAUUUAAUCAUUCAAUUUUGUUGCUGUACAAUAACACUACACAAUUAAAUCAUGAUACAUUUUCGCGCACACGAUUAUACAAUAUAAAUGCAAGCAGAGCCAGCAACCCAAAUCUCUGUGCGACAACGACAAGGGCGGUCAAUCAAAAAGACGUAGGGCAAUCCAAAAUUUCGAGCAACAAGACGCGGUUAUGCGCCUCCGAUUUUUUCCCCCCAUCAAACAAGGUUUAUGCAGGAUUUACCUUGGGAGCGCGCCUCACUUUCACUGGCACUUCCGCCCUGCACUCCGGCGACAUCACGCCGGCGCGUGCGGCGCGCUAGGGCGGUCGAGUUGUCAGGAGCCGUUGCGCCGGUCGCGUCGCCGCCGCCGCGGCGUAUCGCUGUCGCGCGCCGGAGGAUGGCUGCCACCUGAUCUGAGGAUGGCUGCCG